GGGCGGGUGGCGGAAUUGGCAGACGCGUACGGCUCAGGACCGUAUGUCCUAACGGACUUAGGGGUUCAAAUCCCCUCUCGCCCA
rnacentral:tRNA from 1 species